rnacentral:rRNA from 1 species
AUGGCCAUGGACAUGGCGCACACGGACCACCUCGUGGCGGCCUACCACGGCCUCCUCGCCGCCGCGGGCCUCCUCCUCUGCGUCCUCGCCGAGGCCCUCCUCUUCGCGCUGCGGCGGAGCUUCACGCUCUACCUCGUCCCGGUCUCCGCGAUGCUGCUCCUCGGCCGCUACCGCCGCCGCGCCGCGGGGGGCGCGGUCGGGCUCGUCGACUUCUCCUGCCUCAAGCCGCCUCGCCGGCUGCGGCUCCCCUUGGACGCCCUGCUGGAGCACCUGGAGCUCGGCGGCUUCUUCGACCGCGGCAGCAUCGAGUUCAUGACCAAGGCCAUCCGCUCCAGCGGCAUGGGCAACGAGACCUACCUCCCGCCCGCGCUGCACUUCCUCCCGCCGGCGUCCACGCACGCCCACGCCAUCCGGGAGGCGCACAUGCUCUUCUUCCCCGCCCUCGACGACCUCUUUAGAAAGACCAGCGUGCCGCCGUCCGCCGUCGGCGCUGUCGUCGUCAACUGCAGCGGCUUCUGCCCGGCGCCCUCGCUCGCCGCCAUCAUCGCCGACCACUACCGGAUGCGCGCCGACGUCAAGAUCUUCAACCUCUCAGGCAUGGGCUGCAGCGCCGGCUCCAUCGGCGUCGACGUCGCGGCCGGCCUCCUACGGGCGCACGCCUUGACGUACGCCGUGGUGGUCAGCGCCGAGAUCCUCACGGUGGGAUGGUACUGCGGCAAGGACCACGGGAAGCUCCUCCUCAACUGCAACUUCCGCACCGGCUGCUCCGCCGCGCUCCUGACCAACAGCACGGCCGUGCCGGUGAAGUACCGGCUCGUCAACGUGACGCGCACGAACACCACGGCCAACGACCGGAGCUACCGCGCGGGGUACCGGGAGGAGGACGACGAGGGCAUCACCGGCUUCACGCUCGGCCAGGGCGUCGGCCGCAUGGUCAGCGAGCUGCUCCGCGCGCACCUCCUCACACUCAGCCUCUCCAUCCUGCCGUGGCGCGAGAAGGCACGCUUCGCUGCCGCGCUGCUCCUGUCGAUGCGCCAACGAGGGCAGGACAAGCUCGCCGGCAGCAGCUCCGGCGCCUCCGCGCCCAUGCCAAACUUCCGCGCGGCGUCGGACCACUUCUGCCUGCCUUCCUCGGGGAAGCCGAUGAUACUGCGGCUGGGGAAGGGGCUGGGGCUGGGGGAGAGGGAGAUGGAGGCGGCGUUGAUGACGUUCCACCGGUUCGGGAACCAGUCGGCGGCGUCGCUGUGGUACCAGAUGGCGUACCUGGAGGCCAAGGCGCGGGUCCGCAAGGGCGACACGGUGUGGCACCUCGGCAUCGGGAGCGGGCUCAAGGCCAACAGCCUCGUGUGGGAGCGUGUCGCAGUCGCCGACGACGUCGCCGCCGGCGGGCUCGACGCGCUGGGCCCGUGGAUGGAGUGCAUCCACCAGUACCCCCAGUGGGAGGAAUAA